AUGACGCGGCAGUAGGUUUAGGAGGACACUUGUUUGUGCCAUCCAAGUAUCCCAUCAGAUCAUAUCCAAUGAGAAUGGUUAGGAAGGUUGCACGCCAGGAGGGAUAAUUUGAAGAUGUGAGUUUGUAUGGCAGUUGGCUGGAAGUGUUUAUGGCAAUCAAUGAAAGCUCAGAGGAGUCAGGUUUGUUGAGCCACUAGAGGAGGAGUGGAAUUCACACUGAGGGACGACAUGGAGGUUGGGAACACUGUCUGUUCUCAUGAGAGAAGAAUGCUUUGAUGUCAUAAAAGGUUUACACAUAUUUGGCAAAAGUGUUUACAUAUUAUUCCAGUAAGUUGUCUUUAUAUAGUACACAGGUUAGCUAAGGAAGGAAUAUACAAUCAGUUGACAGAAUGAAUUUCUAUACAUAUAUUUGAUUGACAGAGUAAUGCUUGCUGAAUAUUCCUCUAAUCAUGCGAUUGCUUAAUAUUCCUCUAAUCAUGUGAUUUCCUUAUAAUUACUACUACUGCUGCUGCUACUGCUAUAGGAACUACUAUUAUUAUUUUACAGUUUCUUGUCAUACAUCGGUGGUAUCAAAGCUACGACAAAUGACUAGAGUAAGGCUAUUAAGGCAAUGUUUAAAGCAAUUGAGACUAACUUACAAGAAAUAGGCAAUCAACUCAAUGACGUACUUGCUAACUUAAAUCUUGGAGGCGAUAUUUUGAAGGUGGUAUAACAACUACCAAAUCGAACCGGUUCAAUUGCUGCCUUUGUAAAUUUGACCCCAAUUUUUAUCAUGGUUAUCAUAAUGACUAUGAUGGUUGAAUAGUCAAGAUAGAAAUUCCUAUUUUCAAUGGGAGUCUAGAUUUGGAGUCCAUCCUUAAU
rnacentral:lncRNA from 1 species